UACGUAGGGUGCAAGCGUUGUCCGGAAUUAUUGGGCGUAAAGAGCUCGUAGGCGGUUUGUUGCGUCGGCUGUGAAAUCCCGAGGCUCAACCUCGGGUCUGCAGUCGAUACGAGCAAACUAGAGUGUUGCAGGGGAGACUGGAAUUCCUGGUGUAGCGGUGAAAUGCGCAGAUAUCAGGAGGAACACCAGUGGCGAAGGCGGGUCUCUGGGCCGAUACUGACGCUGAGGAGCGAAAGCGUGGGGAGCGAACAGG
rnacentral:rRNA from 1 species